rnacentral:rRNA from 1 species
AUUGAACGCUAGCGGGAUGCUUUACACAUGCAAGUCGAACGGAGUGGCGGACGGGUGAGUAAUAUAUCGGAACGUGCCCAGUAGCGGGGGAUAACUACUCGCAAGAGUGGCUAAUACCGCAUACUCUUGGAGCGACCUAUAUCGGAUUAGCUAGUUGGUGGGGUAAAGGCUCACCAAGGCAACGAACCGUAGCUGGUUUGAGAGGCCGACGAGCAACAUUGGGACUGAGACACGGCCCAGACGCCACCGGGAGGCAGCAGGGGGGAAUUUUGGACAAUGGGGGAAACCCUGAUGCAGACAUCCCGCGUGUAUGAUGAGGGCCUUCGGGUUGUAAAGUACUUUUGGCAGGAAAGCGGUAUCGGCAGAAAAAGCACCGGCUAACUACGUGCCAGCAGCCGCGGUAAUAC